AUUGAACGCUGGCGGCAUGCCUUACACAUGCAAGUCGAACGGUAACGCGGGGCAACCUGGCGACGAGUGGCGAACGGGUGAGUAACGCAUCGGAACGUGCCCAGUAGUGGGGGAUAGCCCGGCGAAAGCCGGAUUAAUACCGCAUACGACCUACGGGUGAAAGCGGGGGAUCGCAAGACCUCGCGCUAUUGGAGCGGCCGAUGUCAGAUUAGGUAGUUGGUGGGGUAAAAGCCUACCAAGGCGAAGAUCUGGAGCGGGUCUGAGAGGACGACCAGCCACACUGGGACUGAGACACGGCCCAGACUCCUACGGGAGGCAGCAGUGGGGAAUUUUGGACAAUGGGCGCAAGCCUGAUCCAGCCAUGCCGCGUGCGGGAAGAAGGCCUUCGGGUUGUAAACCGCUUUUGUCAGGGAAGAAACGCUCUGGGCUAAUACCCCGGGGUAAUGACGGUACCUGAAGAAUAAGCACCGGCUAACUACGUGCCAGCAGCCGCAGUAACAC
rnacentral:rRNA from 1 species